rnacentral:tRNA from 1 species
AGGAAGUGUGCCUGAAUGUUUAAGGACCGCUUUGAUGGAGUGGACCAUGAGGGUUAAAGCCCCUCCAUUUCCUU